rnacentral:lncRNA from 1 species
ACUAUCGAGGAGAAUUUAUCGCGCGGGUCAUUUGGAGAUCCAGAGAGAGCUGGAGCUGUGUUAGGGAAGCAGGGCGGGGGUGCGGGCAUUUAUGCGGUCUUUCCACCCACCCUCGCCUAAUCAGGCGGCUCUCAGUCAGGUUUUCAAAAUACUAACCUUGAUCUAAGAGCGUCUAUCUCUGCAUAAGUGGAGAAAAUGAUUCAUUUUUAGAGGUUUCUGGGCUUGGGGAAGAAGAAUGGUCGUCAGACAGGAGCAGAAGACGUGAAAGAUUGGUCUGGCCUCGCUUUACUCCAGGCGCCUUGUGGGAUGCUGACCUGUCCCGGGGUGCAGCUGCGCGCACCCCUCCUUGAGCUGUAAGCCUCUGGGCGGUGGAAAAGCAAUCGCCUGCGUCGUGACAGUUCCUACCUACUAAAUUGAAAAUUUGAAAAUCAGAGGCGGCAGGCCCACCCAAGGUGUCUACCAACAUCCGUGGACCACAGGGCUUUUUGCAAGCCCAUGGGAAAGACAGCCUGAGAGACUUCGGAGUGCGUCCUGUCCCAGGCUGUGCCUCUCCUGCUUAAGGGAAGCCUUGAGUGUAUCUCCCUAAAAACAGAUGGGGGCAGGGAAGGGGUCUAGAUCCCGUGGAGCCAGGCCUUGAUUGGAGGUCCGGGCUGGAGAGAGGGAACAUCAACCCGCCCUGACCCCCACAGCUUCCACUCACCCGAAGAGCUGCCUAAUUGGGCUGCGAGCAGCUGCGAAAUUUGUAAUCGUCUAAUGAGCCUUCCGCCUCGGUAAUUCUUAUCAAAAGGCAUAAAACUGAUAUUUUCACACUCAGCUCGCACUGCAGGCGCCGUUUAUAAACAUCCUUCAUCAGUGGGAUGAAAUUAAGCCUGCAUUGACAGAGGUCUCUGGAACUCGAUAUUUAAAAGCAAUAGAUCCGAAUUAGCAAAUUAUAACUUUAAGUAGGGAAAGUCCCCACCAACUUGACUAUUGAACCCUUUGCCUCUGAGCUCCUCGGGGUGAGUAACCACACGUUUGAGAGAACUUAACCUGGAGGUUCUGCGGUGCUCAGGCAAUCUCCGGAAACUCGGAUUCCCGAAACUGCCCCUGCUACGGCUCCUCCCGCCCGCCUUCUAGGGACUCGCCUGGGUCAGACCUGUGGAGAUCGGGGCGAGGCACAGCUGGAGCCUGAGAGAAAACGUGGUCAAAGGAGGCGCAUCCAGGACUCCCGGGCGGCCUGCAGGCGCAGAAACAGAGCCCUGCUCUUGCGGACCCGAGCUUUCCCUGGCCCGCGGCCCUCACCGCCCACCUCCAGGGCUCCAGCGCCAAGGGUACAGUGGGCCAUAGGACUGUAGGAGGCGGUGGAGGAUGGGGAGACUUUCGCGAUCAUAAGAAGGUGCGGAUUCUGGCAGAAUUCUGGUUGGCGACUCCUUCGAUCCCUGAAGGUGAAAUCUCAGCUAAAACCACUCUGAAACUGUGGAUGUCACACUUGGUUCAGGGUUAGGAGACCGUGUCUUUGGAUUUUUGCCCAUCACGUGUAACCAUUAUAAAUAUUAGUCUGGAAAAAGACUUUAGGAGAUUGCUUCUAGAGGUUCUUUCCACAAACUUACCCUGCUCAGAAUCUGCAUAACCCCUCAGAGAUGGCAGAGCUGUAUACGGGCUCACCUUGGGACUUACCGGUCCCAGACUCCGUUUUAUACCUUGCUACCCACAGUUUCUGAGGGUAAGAGAGGGGUGCUUUUAUUCACGCCAGUGGAGGUCGCCAAAAGCGGGCGAGGGCCUCCGUCUGGGACCCACUGGUCUCUCUCCCACUGUGGGCCAAGACUGAGGUUUGAUGGGCUUCCCAGCUGGGCAAGCCUGCUCCACGCGGGACACCCGGGAAUCCACUGGCGGGCAGACCCUGCCUUCGCCACCCGCCCCGCGGCAUUCCUCACUGCGGUCUGAUGCGCCAGCUGGGGCCAGUUGUUUCAAGCGGUUCUGGAGGACCAAUAGCGGAAAGCCAAGUUCUGCGACCAAGAGUCUGUACGAGUGACUCGGUGUUUCUUUCCAGCCGGUUCGCAGAGCGCCAGUAAGCUCUCCCGGUCCGCUACGGAAGAAAUAGGGGAAGCGUUUCCAGUCUAAGAGAGAGGAUGGGAGAGAGAAAAUUAGGAACCACGCCGAAAUUAAGCAGGGCAGCCUGGAAAGCUUCCCGGCUAAAAGCUAUGGCGCGAAACGCUAAAGUCCAUCACACCAUUUAUUCAUUGUGACAUUUCCAAGCCGACAAUAGCGCCUUAAGCACGCCUGUGGUUUGGAGGUGCCGGUUUUAUAUGCAUUUUACUGUUUAGAAUGAUAAACAAAUCAGGACCAAUGGAAACCUGAUUCUAACCUCU